rnacentral:rRNA from 1 species
CAUGUCUUUUUGAUUAUAAUAUAAAGUCUGACCUGCCCUAUGAAUAUAUUUUUAAAUGGCCGCGGUAUUUUGACCGUGCAAAGGUAGCAUAAUAAUUAGUUUUUUAAUUGAGAACUGGUAUGAAUGGUUUGACGAGGAAGGGACUGUCUCAAUUUAAUUUAAAUUAGAAUUUUAUAUUUAAGUUAAAAAGCUUAAAUAGAUUUAAAAGACGAGAAGACCCUAUAGAAUUUAAUAUUUGUAUAAAUAAUAUAUAUGUUUAAGUAUUAUUAUUUUUAUUAUUUAUAUAAGUAUUUAGUUGGGGUAACUAAAAAAUUUAAUAAACUUUUUUUAUAUUAAACCAUUGAUAUAUGAUUAUUUGAUCCAUUUUUUAUGAUUAUAAGAUUAAAUUACCUUAGGGAUAACAGCGUUAUUUUUUUUUAGAGUUCAUAUCGA